rnacentral:lncRNA from 1 species
CCGUGAAAUAGAGAACAGAAGCUCUCUGAGCUGUGCUUGGCACCCCCAAUCACUCAAUGCAUUUGAUCUUGUUGUUAUCUACCUUGUAGUGUGCCAUGAAUGUUAACAGAGACUGGAGCAAGGCCUAACAUUGGGCUAAUGGCAACAAUUACUAACAGUGACCAACUAGAAGGAGAAUAGACGCGUCGUCACAAAAAGAAGCCAAUGAGAAUCUAGACGGAAUGAAAUGGGCAACAAUCCCCAAGCCACAGACUCAUUCAUCACCCAUCACAAGGAAGAAGCAACAGCUAGGGCGGUGGCCCUGGGGAGAACAGUGCUUCCCUGCUUCGAGAGUACGUCAUAAAAUGUAGGUGAAGGAAGGCAUAAAUGACCUGUUCUAAGAACGCAGGGGAAGGUCUCCCUCAACACAGCAUUCAUUGCAAUGAAAUUCAGGACAAACACUAUACUAUGCAUGAAGAUCACUGCCUGGAGACCCCAGCUCUUCAUUCCCGACGUCGUAUUUGAAAAUGGAACCUGAGGAAAGCGUGCUUUAUUCAUUUUGUUGUUUUCUGUGGUGCUCGCUCGGCUGCCCUGAAAGCCCACCACAGGAGAGCUCAAUUAGGAGGCUUCAUAAUUUUCACCGGUUAACUUUGAUUAAAUGCACUGUCUUGGAGGGGAAACUCAGCCAAUCCGGGCUAUAAAUUACCUGCAGUGAGUUUUCAACCUAGAGUUUCUGAAAUAUUAGCACCCGGA